rnacentral:snRNA from 2 species
AUACCUUUCUCGGCCUUUUGGCUAAGAUCAAGUGUAGUAUCUGUUCUUAUCAGUUUAAUAUCUGAUAUGUGGGCCAUGUGCUUACAAUGAUAUUAAAUUUAUUUUUUAUGGGGGUGGUCCACAAUAGUAGCUUGCUACUGGGGUUCACAUGUGUCGUCUGGGCGUUGCACUACUGCCCUGGCCUGGCACACCCCAA